rnacentral:tRNA from 1 species
GGGUCCUUAGCUCAGCGGUAGAGCGCUCCCCCGACACGGGAGAGGCCGAAGGUUCGACCCCUUCAGGACCCA